UACAUAUAUAUACAGUUAGUUCGGCUAUAUAAACGGGUGAGCAGAUUUCAAUCCCUACCAUCAUAACGAAGAACGCCAAAACGCAUUGAGACUCUGAGAGAGAACCGCCGAAGUUCUCUCUCUGUAAUUGAUUCAACUUCUCCGACUCUUGCUUGAUCGCAGAUAUAUACAGAGAGACAAGAUUCAGAAAGAGGACCCAAAAACAGCAAAAGCACAACCGGCUGUGGGAGAAGGAACCACAGUUCCAUUUGCAAUUUUUUGAGUCUGUGAAGAAGUUUUAGAAGAAAAAAAAAAGAAUAAAAGAAUGGGUUUCUGGACGCUUUUGGAGGUGGCUUCAACGCCAAUAUUGCAAGUGCUCAUUAUCGGUGCAUUGGGAGCUCUCAUGGCAACUGAUUAUCUCAAGCUUCUUCCUGCAGAUACAAGGAAGUCCCUCAACAAGAUCGUGUUCAUGGUUUUCACACCAUCCCUCAUAUUUGCAAGUCUGGCCGAGACUGUCACCUUAAAAGAUCUCAUUGCGUGGUGGUAUAUGCCUGUUAACGUUGGCCUAACCUUUCUGUUUGGAGGAACUCUGGGAUGGAUAGUAGUAAAAAUAUUGAAGCCGAAACCACAUUUAGAAGGCCUGAUUAUAGCUACCUGUUCAUCAGGAAAUUUGGGAAACAUGCUCUUGAUAAUUGUCCCUGCAAUCUGCUCGGAGGAUGGAAGCCCCUUUGGCGAUCAUAAAACUUGUAGAUCUGUUGGACUAUCAUACACAUCUUUCUCCAUGGCGCUUGGAGGUUUCUUCAUUUGGACUUAUACUUACCAACAAAUACGAAGCUCAGCAUUGAAAAUCAGAGCUUUUGAAGCAGCCGAAGUGGUUUCAAAGGUGGCAAACAAGGAUUUAGAUGCUGAUGGGAAGACUCAUCUUCUGGAGGGUGAAGUCCCAGAACAUGUGGCCAUAGUUGUAUCAGCUACAAAAUCCACCGAAGAGGAUACAGAGAACCAAGUAGUAAGCUCGAGUGAACACAGAGCGCCUUCAAGUAUAGUGGAGAAAGGGAAUCCGUCAUUCUUUAGCAAUGUAGUAGUUGUUCUCCACCAGUUCCUGGAGGAGUUAAUGGCACCUCCGACCCUUGGUGCUAUUAUUGGAUUCAUUUUUGGAGCAAUCCCAUGGCUGAAGAAUCUUAUAAUCGGUGAUAACGCACCUCUAAGAGUUAUUCAAGACUCCAUCACAUUACUUGGGAAUGGAACAAUUCCUUGCAUCACCCUCAUCUUAGGAGGCAACCUCACAAAAGGCCUGCGCUCCACAAAAUUGAAUUCACUAACAAUCAUAGCGGUUAUCUGCGUCCGAUAUGUGCUGCUUCCUGUAAUUGGGAUCGGUUUGGUUAAAGCAGCCGGCAGCUUUGGCUUCCUUCCAUCAGACCCGCUGUUCCAUUUUGUGCUGAUGAUUCAGUUUGUGCUGCCACCUGCCAUGAAUAUCGGUACAAUGACGGAACUGUUUAAUGUGGCAGAAGAGGAGUGCUCAUUGUUGUUCCUGUGGACAUACCUAGUGGCGUGCAUCUCACUCACUGUAUGGUCCUCAAUCUUCAUGUGGAUCUUGUCCUGAAUGGGGCUAACUUUAUCAUGGUAGUGAUACUUACAUUGAAUUGGACAUUCACAUUCACCAAGAUAUUACGAGACAUGAAGACGAUGUGGAAGAUGAAGAGGUGGGGAUUCCUGGAGAUCGAGAAAACAGAAAACGUGGAUGAAUGAUUUUGAUGAGGCCACUGCUACUGACACCGGCAUCGGCGAGGAAGAGAAAGCUCUUCCAUUGCCACUAGUUAAAGGGAAGAGGCAUGUCCCUGCGUAGGAGGAGAUGCCACUCACCACCAAGCCCGUCUCUGUUCAGCGGAAAAAUAAAUCAAGCCAGCGAUGGUGCAAUCUGUUGCCACCGUCAAACCCCAUUGUUGGGGUCAUGGCUACCUCACAUGGAUAAGAGUAUUGUUAUUCGGGCCCCCACGACGCUACCCAAUAUAUAAUUAAAAGGGAAUUCUAUCCGCAACCCACAAUUUUGUUCUUCACGGCCCACACUCCGUCAAAUUCCUCAUUAAUUUUUAAAUUUUUAUUUUACCCCACAGCUCAUUCUCUUGUUCAGCCACCCCCAACCAUCACUUCUCUCUUUCUCUAACACACCAUAUACACACAUACACAUACGUGUAUAUAUAUAUAUAUACACACACGAGUGGCGACCAUGAUUGUCGACCCACCACCAUUAGCCGACCCCUCCUCACACACACACACACUCUCUCUCUCUUUGAUGGCCGUGAGGUGGGUCAGCAUCGCUAUUACUAAGAUGGGUCAGCUAUGGCCGACCCACCAAGGGAAGAACCAUUGAAUCACAAGGUUCGGGGGUUCAAGAAACCCCCAAACCCCGCGGUUCCUCCCCCCAAUGGGUCGGCCAUAACGACCCACCUUGGCAAUGGCAAUGGGUCGACCGCCAUCGCCAACCCACCUCGUGAUCGUAGCAGAGAAAAGAGAGAGAGAGAAAAAGAAAUAGUGUAUGGGUAGGCCAUGGCGGCUGACCUAGCAAUGGCGAUAGGUCAACAAGCAUGGCCGACCAUGGCUGUCGCUCGUGUAUAUGGUGCAUGAGAGAAAGAGAUAGGCAAAGUGGUGAUCGAGGAUGAUCAGAGAAAAGAGUGGGCUGUGGGAGUAAAAUAGAAAUUUAAAAAUUAGUGAAGGAUUUGGCGGGUGUGAGCUAUGAAGAGCAAAAUUGUGAACUGCAGAUAGAAUUUCCCAAUUACAAAUUUACCCACCAUGAGAAUUGCAAACAUACCCUCAAUACAUAAUACCAUCAAUAUUCACAUUUUCUCUCACACACUCAAUAUUCAUCCUUCUUCCCCACACAUCUCUUUUUUUCUCUCUCUCUCUAUCCUGUGCAACCACUGUUGACCAGAGUCCCUUAGAUGCAAUCUCCAUUGACCGUGAUGUAUAAGGAGGUAAAUCUUUUAAUUUUAUCAGCAAUGAUAUACGUAAAUUUGUGCAGGGCGGAUCUAGAAUUUUUUUACAAAGGGAGGCUUCAAACAAAAAUUUCAACCGUGAGCUUCACUGAUAACUUUCUUAUUUUUUUUUUCAAUCACAAAAGUAGGGAUGAAAUUAUGAUUUUAAUAGAAUCUGGAAAAGAAAAGAAGAAAGGUAGGGGCUUGGGAUUAGGCUCGACUUUGGGGCUUAGAAUAAAAAAAUAUUUUUUUUCUAGUCUAUAAAUUCCAUUUUUUAAAAAAAUUGGGUGGGCUAACUCAUUCCCUUCGUCUGCCCCUAUAUACACGGGUGUUGGGUUUGGUCGAAAGUUUAAUUUUAGAUUUAUGGAGAUUUGACUGUUGGAUCUCAUUGAUUUUUGGGUAUAUUGGUCGAUGUGGAUAAGGGUAUCGAGUGGUUGCCUCUGAUUGUCGAAAACCACCUGCCACCGUGGCCGGUAGCGACUGACAAUGCGUUUACAUAAGUAUUAGGUUUGACCGAAAGUUUAAGCUUAGAUCUAAGGAGAUUUGGCCGUUGGAUCUUGUUGGUUUUUGGAUAUAUUGGUUAAUGAGAAUAAGGGUGUCAGGUGAUUACCUUUGAUCGCCGAAAACCACCAACCACAGUGGCUGGUGACUAAUGGUAGUGCAUUUUUAGUUGUGGCUGAAAAUUAAAUAUUAGAUCUACAAAAAUUCAAUAGUUAAAUCUGGCUUAUUUUGGUGUAUGUUAACCCUCUUGACUUAGUGUUUUUAAUGGUAGACUCUGAUCGUGAAAAUUUUCGGCUUGCAAUAGUCACCAACGACCACUAGUGGUGACGGUUGUGACUAAUUAGGUUGUUCUUCGCCUCCAUGCGUACAUACAUACAAACAUACAUAUAUUUAUAUAUUUUUCUUUAUUCUACAUUAAUUUUUCUUGUUUCCUUACGCUAUGUUUUUUAUGGGAAUGAUGAUGACGAUUUAGUUGUUGUUUUUUAUGAGAAUGAUGAUGACGAUUUA